CGGGACGGGUGAGUAAUGUCUGGGAAACUGCCUGAUGGAGGGGGAUAACUACUGGAAACGGUAGCUAAUACCGCAUAACGUCGCAAGACCAAAGAGGGGGACCGUUGGCCCUCUUGCCAUCGGAUGUGCCCAGAUGGGAUUAGCUAGUAGGUGGGGUAAAGGCUCACCUAGGCGACGAUCCCUAGCUGGUCUGAGAGGAUGACCAGCCACACUGGAACUGAGACACGGUCCAG
rnacentral:rRNA from 1 species